CUUGUCCUCCAAGAGUCAGGCCCUGGCUGCCAGGCUGGCCGGCUGGCCGGCUGCUGACCUCCCCUUAGCGUCUUCCUACUGAUGGUUCACUGUCCUCUCAGGCAGGGAGCUUCCGGCUUCCUCCUCAGCCUGCAGCAACCUGCCCCUCCCUCCUGAUGGCCCAGACUGACCCAUCCGGGACCUGACUGUGGGAACCAGUCCCAGGAUCAGCUCUGGGCCCUUGCCUCAGAGAUUGUUACAAAGAGAGAGAACCCCCCUCCCUCCCACACACACUCAGCCAAGGGAAAGGGACACCCCAAGGCCAAAAGCGCUGAAGUCCCUUGGUUAGGUUGGUCUGGCUGGACCCUUGGCCAACCCCCCCACACCCUACCCCCACUGCAUUCUCAGGCCUCAGCCGUGCCCUGCCUUCCUGGACUCCCCCAAACCGACGUUCCUAAUCCCACCUGACUGAGAAGAGUGACCAGCGGACCUAAGGCUCUCUUCUGGCCUACAUAGACGCCUGCUCUCACAUGCAAAAAAAAGCCCACCCCUACAUGUCUAAACACAAAUAAAAUCAUUUAUAAACAAUAUAAAUAAAAUAAACAAAACUAAAAUCUUUGUAAAUG
rnacentral:lncRNA from 1 species